GAUGAACGCUGGCGGCGUGCCUAAUACAUGCAAGUCGAGCGAACAGAUGAGGAGCUUGCUCCUCUGAUGUUAGCGGCGGACGGGUGAGUAACACGUGGAUAACCUACCUAUAAGACUGGGAUAACUUCGGGAAACCGGAGCUAAUACCGGAUAAUAUAUUGAACCGCAUGGUUCAAUAGUGAAAGACGGUUUUGCUGUCACUUAUAGAUGGAUCCGCGCCGCAUUAGCUAGUUGGUAAGGUAACGGCUUACCAAGGCAACGAUGCGUAGCCGACCUGAGAGGGUGAUCGGCCACACUGGAACUGAGACACGGUCCAGACUCCUACGGGAGGCAGCAGUAGGGAAUCUUCCGCAAUGGGCGAAAGCUUGACGGAGCAACGCCGCGUGAGUGAUGAAGGUCUUCGGAUCGUAAAACUCUGUUAUUAGGGAAGAACAAAUGUGUAAGUAACUAUGCACGUCUUGACGGUACCUAAUCAGAAAGCCACGGCUAACUACGUG
rnacentral:rRNA from 1 species